ACACGUGGGAAUCUACCUUGGGGUACGGAAUAACGCAGAGAAAUUUGUGCUAAUACCGUAUAAUGACUUCGGUCCAAAGAUUUAUCGCCCUUAGAUGAGCCCGCGCAAGAUUAGCUAGUUGGUGAGGUAAAAGCUCACAAAGGCGACGAUCUUUAGCUGGUCUGAGAGGAUGAUCAGCCACACUGGGACUGAGACACGGCCCAGACUCCUACGGGAGGCAGCAGUGGGGAAUAUUGGACAAUGGGCGAAAGCCUGAUCCAGCAAUGCCGCGUGAGUGAUGAAGGCCUUAGGGUUGUAAAGCUCUUUUACUAGGGAUGAUAAUGACAGUACCUAGAGAAUAAGCUCCGGCUAACUCCGUGCCAGCAGCCGCGGUAAUACGGAGGGAGCUAGCGUUGUUCGGAAUUACUGGGCGUAAAGCGCGCGUAGGCGGUUAUCCAAGUCAGAGGUGAAAUCCCGGAGCUUAACUCCGGAACUGCCUUUGAAACUAGAUAACUAGAAUCUUGGAGAGGCGAGUGGAAUUCCGAGUGUAGAGGUGAAAUUCGUAGAUAUUCCGGAAGA
rnacentral:rRNA from 1 species